rfam:Ictidomys tridecemlineatus contig014907, whole genome shotgun sequence.
GGGGUUAUGGUUCAGCGGUAGAGCGCUUGCCUAGCACGCAGGAGGCCCUGGGUUCAAUCCUCAGCACCA